CACGUAGGCUGUUUAUUAAGUCAGAUGUGAAAGCCCCGGGCUUAACCUGGGAACUGCAUUUGAUACUGGUAAACUAGAGUAUGGUAGAGGGGGGUAGAAUUCCUAGUGUAGCGGUGAAAUGCGUAGAUAUUAGGAGGAAUACCAGUGGCGAAGGCGGCCCCCUGGACCAAUACUGACGCUGAGGUACGAAAGCGUGGGUAGCGAACA
rnacentral:rRNA from 1 species